GACGUCGAAUAUCGACGUCAUAAACACCAAAGUUGAUCGUGUUUAUGACGUCGAAUAUCGACGUCAUAAACACCAAAGUUGAUCGUGUUUAUGACGUCGAAUAUCGACGUCAUAAACACCAAAGUUGAUCGUGUUUAUGACGUCGAAUAUCGACGUCAUAAACACCAAAGUUGAUCGUGUUUAUAACGUCGAAUAUCGACGUCAUAAACACCAAAGUUGUUCGUGUUUAUGACGUCGAAUAUCGACGUC
rnacentral:miRNA from 1 species